UACAGAGGGUGCGAGCGUUGUUCGGAAUUACUGGGCGUAAAGCGCGUGUAGGCGGGUCUUUAAGUCAGGGGUGAAAUGCCAAGGCUCAACCUUGGAACUGCCUUUGAUACUGGAGACCUUGAGUCCGGGAGAGGUGAGUGGAAUUGCGAGUGUAGAGGUGAAAUUCGUAGAUAUUCGCAAGAACACCAGUGGCGAAGGCGGCUCACUGGCCCGGAACUGACGCUGAG
rnacentral:rRNA from 1 species